GACGAACGCUGGCGGCGUGCUUAACACAUGCAAGUCGAACGGAAAGGCCCUGCUUUUGUGGGGUGCUCGAGUGGCGAACGGGUGAGUAACACGUGAGUAACCUGCCCUUGACUUUGGGAUAACUUCAGGAAACUGGGGCUAAUACCGGAUAGGAGCUCCUGCUGCAUGGUGGGGGUUGGAAAGUUUCGGCGGUUGGGGAUGGACUCGCGGCUUAUCAGCUUGUUGGUGGGGUAGUGGCUUACCAAGGCUUUGACGGGUAGCCGGCCUGUGAGGGUGACCGGCCACAUUGGGACUGAGAUACGGCCCAGACUCCUACGGGAGGCAGCAGUGGGGGAUAUUGCACAAUGGGCGGAAGCCUGAUGCAGCAACGCCGCGUGCGGGAUGACGGCCUUCGGGUUGUAAACCGCUUUCGCCUGUGACGAAGCGUGAGUGACGGUAAUGGGUAAAGAAGCACCGGCUAACUACGUG
rnacentral:rRNA from 1 species